rnacentral:tRNA from 3 species
AGGGGCGUGGUGAAAUGGUAUCAUAAGGGUCUCCAAAACCCUUGGUCUGGGUUCGAUUCCCAGCGCCCCUGCCA